rnacentral:rRNA from 1 species
GAUGAACGCUGGCGGCGUGCCUAAUACAUGCAAGUCGAGCGAACAGACGAGGAGCUUUCUCCUCUGACGUUAGCGUCGGACGGGUGAGUAACACGUGCAUCACCUACCUCUAAGACUGGGAUAACUGCGGGAAACCGCUGCUAAUACCGUAUAAUAUAUUGAACCGCAUGGUUCAAUAGUGAAAGACGGUUUUGCUGUCUCUUAUAGAUGGUUCCGCGCCGCAUUAGCUAGUUGGUAAGGUAACGGCUUACCAAGGCGACGAUGCGUAGCCGACCUGAGAGGGUGAUCGGCCACACUGGAACUGAGACACGGUCCAGACUCCUACGGGAGGCAGCAGUAGGGAAUCUUCGGCAAUGGGCGAAAGCCUGACGGAGCAAUGCCGCGUGAGUGAUGAAGGUCUUCGGAUCGUAAAACCCUGUUAUUAGGAAAGAAAAGAUGUGUAAUUAACAAUUCACGUAUUGACGGUACCUAAACAGAAAGCCACGGCUAACUACGUG